GCGCUCCACACACCAUGCCAGACCGCAUCUCAACAGCGGAGCGUACGCGCCUGAGCCCUCGGGAGCGAGAGCGCCGAGGGCGCAUUGCGAAACAGGCAUGCUCGAGAUCACUCUCUUGCUUCGCCGCUGA
rnacentral:ribozyme from 1 species